CAAGAUAACCAGACGGUUGCGUGCAAAGCACGAGGAAAGUCCGAACACCACAGGACAGGAUGCCGGCUAACUACCGGUGAAGGCGACUUUAAGGAAAGUGCAACAGAAAUAAACCGCCAAAGCAUUACGCAGGCAAGGUUGGAAAGGCGGGGUAAGAGCCCACCGCACGCUCGGCAACGAGAGUGGCAAUGUAAACCCCAUCCGGUGCAAGAUGUGAGGGAAAUCGGUCGUCCGCCGUCCCUCCUAUAUCGCUCGAUUGUAUUGGCAACAAUGCAACUAGACAGAUAACCGUCAAAUACAGAAUUCGGCUUACAGAUUAUCUUGCUUU
rnacentral:RNase_P_RNA from 1 species